rnacentral:rRNA from 1 species
UACGUAGGUGGCAAGCGUUGUUCGGAUUUACUGGGCGUAAAGGGCGCGUAGGCGGCGCGGUAAGUCACUUGUGAAAUCUCUGAGCUUAACUCAGAACGGCCAAGUGAUACUGCAGUGCUAGAGUGUGGAAGGGGCAAUCGGAAUUCUUGGUGUAGCGGUGAAAUGCGUAGAUAUCAAGGGGAACACCUGAGGUGAAGACGGGUUGCUGGGCCAACACUGACGCUGAUGCGCGAAAGCCAGGGGAGCAAACGGG